UAAAGGGCUCAUAUUUUGCUAUUUGGCCUUUUCCCUUUCCUUUAUUGGGCUAUAUAUCAUUUUUGUGCAUGUACCUUAAAGGUUUAA